rnacentral:rRNA from 1 species
AUUGAACGCUGGCGGCAGGCUUAACACAUGCAAGUCGAGCGGAGAUGAGGUGCUUGCACCUUAUCUUAGCGGCGGACGGGUGAGUAAUGCUUAGGAAUCUGCCUAUUAGUGGGGGACAACAUUCCGAAAGGGAUGCUAAUACCGCAUACGUCCUACGGGAGAAAGCAGGGGAUCUUCGGACCUUGCGCUAAUAGAUGAGCCUAAGUCGGAUUAGCUAGUUGGUGGGGUAAGGGCCUACCAAGGCGACGAUCUGUAGCGGGUCUGAGAGGAUGAUCCGCCACAAUGGGACUGAGACACGUCCCAGACUCCUACGGGAGGCAGCAGUGGGGAAUAUUGGACAAUGGGGGAAACCCUGAUCCAGCCAUGCCGCGUGUGUGAAGAAGGCCUUAUGGUUGUAAGGCACUUUAAGCGAGGAGGAGGCUACUGAGACUAAUACUCUUGGAUAGUGGACGUUACUCGCAGAAUAAGCACCGGCUAACUCUGUGCCAGCCGCCGCGGUAA